rnacentral:lncRNA from 1 species
UUUUGUUUUCUGUUUCCUUUCUUAUACUCUUCUUUCUUCCUGUUCAUUCCUGACUUUCUUUGUGCUGUUCACCAUUUUUCUAACACCUGCACCUUGCAGGCAUAGUCGAAUUCUUUCCCUUCCACAAAUGUGGCCCAGUCCUUCCAGCUGCCUGUCUGGCACAUACCUCAUCUGUCUAUUGUCACUGCCUUCACUUGGCUAGUUCUUAUUCAUCCUUGAUUCUCACGUUGAAUGAUUUUGCCCUGAGAGACCCUUCCUCAGCCCUCUGCUCCCAUGACAUCCCUGACUUCCUUAUCUUAGAGGACUAUGCACUGUGUCAAUUUUCUGGGUAUAAGGAUAAGCUCCAUGAAGUCAGGAAUGAUCUCAUACACAAGUGCUUAGCAUGGUUCCUAGGAUAAAGUAGACAUAAUAAAAAUUCAUGGAAUAGUUCCAUGAGUAGUUGAUUACUUAGAGAGUCUAAUUAGCCCACAGACUGUUGAAGACUGUAGGAAUGGCUGGCAGCCUUUGCUGAAGGAACUUGAUCUUUGUUGAGCUUCAGCUUCCUUUGUGCCUGAAAUCAGCUCUCAAUUUUCACAUCCAUCUCACGCUGGCCUCUACGGAGUGAGUGUAAUCCAGCAAAGUGGCACCACAUCAGUCAGUGGAUCAUUUUUGCAACUUGUGGGUCAGGGUAUGAGCUCUGUCAGUGACUCUGAGCCCUGUGCCUCCUGGCUCUAAGUCUGGUAGUCUGCGCUUACUCUCUGUUUCCCGAUUUCUCAUCCACCAGGUGGAAAGGAACAAUGAUCCCCUUGACUGGCUUCUCUGAAAUGUUAGGAAAACUGUAGGUUUAUUUUCCACCAGGACCAGGUUAGACCAUCAGAAGACUCUAUACCUGGAUCACAUUGCUUCGCCUUUUCACAGAACUGCAUUGAAGGACAUUUUAAGAACCAUCCUCCUGAAAUGUAUUAAAGUUAUUUAAUAUGGAAGUCCCCAUGAUUUCACAUGUUCAGUAUUUGAGGACCCAUGGGAAAAACCCCACUUGUAUGUGGUUGAGAGAUUUGUGAGCCACGUGGAGAAGACCUGAAGCUGUGAACUGGAUACCAUGGCAGCUGAUGUCAGGACAGGCCGUCGAUAGAUGACCAAACCCUGCAUCCAAAGUGAGCUUUCCUGUCGGUGUUUUGACUUCUCGUGUGAACAAUGACUGAGGUGGUUCAUUCCUGCAGAGAAGCCCCUUCCUUCUCACCACGCACCAUCUGGGAGGCUGGACUGCAAAGGUGAAAUGGACAAUCAGCCCACUGGAAAAGUGACUGCUGGGCUGUAGGAAAGGGCAGGGCUCAUGGCCUUGCUGUCCAAACACCACUCACAAGUCCAGCAAAGGAAGGGUUGAAUGAAUUUUCAAAGCACUUUGAACUUUCAGGGGAGAAUAAAAUAGAAUGGAAAAGAGUAGAAUAAAAUAACCCAGACCAACCCACUCAAGUCCAAGGUAACCCCAAAGAAAGACUUACUAAUUGUGAUCUCAGCAAUCACUGAGAUACUAGGUGAGCCUCUUCCAUCAUUGCUAGUGUCUCACUGGAGUACUACAUCUUAGCAAAUUCUUUAUUAUUAUUAUUAUUAUUAUUAUUAUUAUUAUUAUUAUUAUUAUUUUUUGAGACGGACACUCGCGGCAACACCCAGGCUGAAGUGCCGUGGUAAAAUCUCGGCUCACUGCAACCUCCACUUCUUGAGUUCAAGUCAUUCUCCUGCCUCAGCCUCUCGAGUAGCUAGGACUACAGGUGUGCACCACCACCAAGCCUGGCUAAUUUUUGUAUUUUUAGUAGAGACAGGGUUUCACCAUGUUGGCCAGGCUGGUCUCGAACUCCUGGCCUCAAGUGAUCCACCUGCCUCGGCCUCUCAAAGCACUGGGAUUACAGGCAUGAGCCACCGCACCCAGCCCAUCUUAGCAAAUUCUUAAGCUGCGUCUGCACUGAGAGGAAAAGCAUUCACCCAUCAGUGAUAGUUACUUUGAGCCCAGGAGAGGGGGAAAUGUCCGAAUAUGAGCAAUCCUUGUCCUGGAGAUGAAGUCUCCCCUCACCAUCCCAUCUAUGGAGUUAUCUGUGGAACUGGAUAGAGAACUAUAUUCUUCCUAUCCAUUAAAUUACAGAACAUAUUACAAAGGAAAAUCGGGUAUCCACAAGACAACAUUGUAUUUUGGGGUGGUAUGAUACUACCAUGGCUCUUCUGGUAAUUGAAGGAUAUAAGCUAUGCAAAAUGAUUCUCACUGCGAAUAAAACAUUUGCUUCAGGAGCUUCUAAAGGUGAGGGCAAUACAAUUUGUGUUUGUUUAAAACAUAAUGUCAUCCAUAACUAAUGGCAUAGCUCUGGCUCAGUAAAGCUUGAAACUAUUGUAUAUAUUUGAAGCUGGAUUUCUGAAUCCUGAGAUGAGAAAUAAAUUUACCCUUAAGCUUUUAUUUUAUUUUUUCAUGGUAAAGGUUAUUUCAGUGACUGA